rnacentral:rRNA from 1 species
GACGAACGCUGGCGGCGUGCCUAAUACAUGCAAGUCGAACGCAGUGGGGACGGGUGAGUAACACGUGGGUGACCUCCCAUCAGAGGGGAUAACACUUGGAAACAGGUGCUAAACCGAUACUGAUGGAUGGACCCGCGGUGCAUUAGCUAGUUGGUGAGGUAACGGCUAACCAAGGCCACGAUGCAUAGCUGACCGGAGAGGGUGAUCGGCCACACUGGGACUGAGACACGGCCCAGACUCCUACGGGAGGCAGCAGUAGGGAAUAUUGGGCAAUGGACGAAAGUCUGACCGAGCAACGCCGCGUGAGUGAAGAAGGUCUUCGGAUCGUAAAACUCUGUUGUUAGAGAAGCGGUAUCUAACCAGAAAGCAACGGCUAACUACGUGCCAGCAGCCGCGGUAAUAC